GAGCCCUUAUGGGAGCAGCUUAGUUGAUUCUGUAGGUUUUCUUGUGGUGAUUUUGAUCACUCUGGCUUCUUCAAUACCUCUUCCCCUCUACCAGAGGAUUCCACAAGCUCCACUUAAUGUCUGGCUGUGGAUCUCUGCAUCAGCUCCCAUCAGUUGGUAGGUGAAGCCUCUCUGAUAACAUCUAUGCAAGGCAUCUGUUUGUAAGUAUAGCAGAAUAUCUUCAGUAGUGUCAGAGUGGGCAUAAGUCUCAAGCUGACCCAGUCACUUGUUGGCCUUUCCCUCAAAUUCAACUUCAUCUUUUUACCUCUGCACAUCUGUAGGUGGACAAAUUGUGGGUCUAAGGUUUUAUGGACUGUGUUGUUGUCUCAGUCCCUCCAUUGGAAGUCUUGCUGGGUUUGGUCUCCAUGUCUCCCAUGGCUAAAAGUCUUAGCUAGGGUCUCCUCACAAAGUCUUGGGAGUUUCCAUUGUCUUGUGAUUCUAUCUCAUCACAGAAAUGCCCCCAAUGCAAUUGUAUCUCUCCCUACAUUCUCUCCCAACCUCAUCCCUCCUGUUCCCAUUCCUACCUCCUCCCAACCCAGACCCCUCCUUCCAUCCACCCCUAAUGUCUACUCUAUUUCCCCUUCUCAGUGAGAUUCAAGCAUCCCCCCUUGAGCCCUCAUUGUUAUUUUUCGGCUUUGUGGUUUGUAGCAUAUGGGGGAAAACAGGAUAGCUAAAACAAUCCUGUAUAACAGAAGGACUUUUGAAGGUACCACCAUUCCUGAUUUCAAGCUGUACUACAGAACAAUAGCAGUAAUAACUGCAUGUUAUUGACAUAAAAAGGAGCAGAUGGAUCAAUUGAAUCAAAUCAAAGAACCAGAAGUCUCUAAAUCAAUAAGGAUGUUGUUAGCCAACAAAACAACGUGAUACAGACAACAUCAGUGCCAAAUGACAUGGGCCACUGGACAUAAGUAUUCAUUAGAUAUGUUGGUCAUUUGGCAAAGUGGCUUGAUUCCAAGAUUUAGUCUCCUUGGUAGCCAGCACUUACCUGAAUACUCUCCAACCUUACAACUACACUAAGCCCAGCCUGGGAGCCUGAGUACAGAGAAACGUACAGACGUCUAAUGGUUAUGUUGAGGAUGUGGGCUUUCAGCUUCCUUCUGGGCCACCGUGUCUUCUGCCUGCUGCCACACUUCCUCACCAUGAAGGGGACUCCUAUCCCUCCGGAUAAGUAUCUGUUUUCCUCCUUGUGGGAACCCUGUUUCCAGUGGGUUAACAAAGCCAAGAAAGAAAGAGAGCAAGCUCGGCCACAUGUGUAAUUUUCAAGGUUCUGCUUCUAUCACAUCUGCUUACAGCUCAUGAGCCAAACUCAGAGUCAAGGAGAAGAGUAGAGGAAUACAAGAAUUGAAGACCCAAAGCCAGCCAUCUGUCUAUCAUGUCUAAGAUUCUGUUCAUAAGAAGAACCGACACGUGGCAAGAGCACCAGCCUCAGGAAUGAGACUGAGAAAGGACAUGGGACACUUCUUUGAGACUUAGAAGACAUUAAAAAGCCUCUGGUUGUAGAAAUUCAAGGAAAUAUUAGGGACGACUGGGAAUGACCAACGCUCACUAUUUUUAUUGCUAUUCCCCCAAGGGGAAAUGCCCUGUGAGGUCUACAUGUUUCACAAGUUCAUCUCCAA